GAUGAACGCUGGCGGCGUGCCUAAUACAUGCAAGUCGAGCGAACAGACGAGGAGCUUGCUCCUCUGACGUUAGCGGCGGACGGGUGAGUAACACGUGGAUAGCCUACCUAUAAGACUGGGAUAACUUCGGGAAACCGGAGCUAAUACCGGAUAAUAUAUUGAACCGCAUGGUUCAAUAGUGAAAGACGGUUUUGCUGUCACUUAUAGAUGGAUCCGCGCCGCAUUAGCUAGUUGGUAAGGUAACGGCUUACCAAGGCAACGAUGCGUAGCCGACCUGAGAGGGUGAUCGGCCACACUGGAACUGAGACACGGUCCAGACUCCUACGGGAGGCAGCAGUAGGGAAUCUUCCGCAGUGGGCGAAAGCUUGACGGAGCAACGCCGCGUGAGUGAUGAAGGUCUUCGGAUCGUAAAACUCUGUUAUUAGGGAAGAACAAAUGUGUAAGUAACUAUGCACGUCUUGACGGUACCUAAUCAGAAAGCCACGGCUAACUACGUG
rnacentral:rRNA from 1 species